rnacentral:rRNA from 1 species
CAUGCAAGUCGAACGAUGAUGCCCAGCUUGCUGGGUGGAUUAGUGGCGAACGGGUGAGUAACACGUGAGUAACCUGCCCCUGACUCUGGGAUAAGCGUUGGAAACGACGUCUAAUACUGGAUAUGAUCACUGGCCGCAUGGUCUGGUGGUGGAAAGAUUUUUUGGUUGGGGAUGGACUCGCGGCCUAUCAGCUUGUUGGUGAGGUAAUGGCUCACCAAGGCGACGACGGGUAGCCGGCCUGAGAGGGUGACCGGCCACACUGGGACUGAGACACGGCCCAGACUCCUACGGGAGGCAGCAGUGGGGAAUAUUGCACAAUGGGCGAAAGCCUGAUGCAGCAACGCCGCGUGAGGGAUGACGGCCUUCGGGUUGUAAACCUCUUUUAGUAGGGAAGAAGCGAAAGUGACGGUACCUGCAGAAAAAGCACCGGCUAACUACGUGCCAGCAGCCGCGGUAAUACGUAGGGUGCAAGCGUUGUCCGGAAUUAUUGGGCGUAAAGAGCUCGUAGGCGGUUUGUCGCGUCUGCUGUGAAAUCCCGAGGCUCAACCUCGGGCUUGCAGUGGGUACGGGCAGACUAGAGUGCGGUAGGGGAGAUUGGAAUUCCUGGUGUAGCGGUGGAAUGCGCAGAUAUCAGGAGGAACACCGAUGGCGAAGGCAGAUCUCUGGGCCGUAACUGACGCUGAGGAGCGAAAGCAUGGGGAGCGAAACAGGAUUAGAUACCCUGGUAGUCCAUGCCGUAAACGUUGGGCGCUAGAUGUAGGGACCUUUCCACGGUUUCUGUGUCGUAGCUAACGCAUUAAGCGCCCCGCCUGGGGAGUACGGCCGCAAGGCUAAAACUCAAAGGAAUUGACGGGGG